rnacentral:rRNA from 1 species
GGCGUGCUUAACACAUGCAAGUCGAACGGUGAAGGGGCCUGCUUUUGUGGGUCCUGGAUGAGUGGCGAACGGGUGAGUAACACGUGAGUAACCUGCCCCCUUCUUCUGGAUAACCGCAUGAAAGUGUGGCUAAUACGGGAUAUUCUGGGUCUGUCGCAUGGUGGGCCUGGGAAAGAUUGCGCCUUUUUUGGUGUUUUUGGUGGGGGAUGGGCUCGCGGCCUAUCAGCUUGUUGGUGGGGUGAUGGCCUACCAAGGCGGUGACGGGUAGCCGGCCUGAGAGGGUGGACGGUCACACUGGGACUGAGACACGGCCCAGACUCCUACGGGAGGCAGCAGUGGGGAAUAUUGCACAAUGGGCGCAAGCCUGAUGCAGCGACGCCGCGUGAGGGAUGGAGGCCUUCGGGUUGUGAACCUCUUUCGCCAGUGAAGCAGGCCUGCCUCGUUUGUGGGUGGGUUGACGGUAGCUGGAUAAGAAGCGCCGGCUAACUACGUGCCAGCAGCCGCGGUAAUA